rnacentral:rRNA from 1 species
GACGAACGCUGGCGGCGUGCCUAAUACAUGCAAGUAGAACGCUGAAGAGAGGAGCUUGCUCUUCUUGGAUGAGUUGCGAACGGGUGAGUAACGCGUAGGUAACCUGCCUUGUAGCGGGGGAUAACUAUUGGAAACGAUAGCUAAUACCGCAUAACAAUGGAUGACACAUGUCAUUUAUUUGAAAGGGGCAAUUGCUCCACUACAAGAUGGACCUGCGUUGUAUUAGCUAGUAGGUGAGGUAAUGGCUCAACUAGGCGACGAUACAUAGCCGACCUGAUGGGGUGAUCAGCCACACUGGGACUGAGACACGGCCCAGACUACUACGGGAGGCAGCAGUAGGGAAUCUUAGGAAAUGGGGGCAACCCUGACCGAGCAACGCCGCGAGAGUGAAGAAGGGUUUCGGAUCGUAAAGCUCUGUUGUAAGUCAAGAACGGGUGUGAGAGUGGAAAGUUCACACUGUGACGGUAGCUUACCAGAAAGGGACGGCUAACUACGUG